CGACCCCAGCUCAGGCGAGAACACCCGCUGAGUUUAAGCAUAUAAUUAAGCGGAGGAAAAGAAACUUACAAGGAUUCCCCUAGUAACGGCGAGCGAACCGGGAAGAGCCCAGCAUGAAAAUCGGGUGGCAGCGUCGCCUGAAUUGUAGUCUAUAGAAGCGUCCUUAGCGGCGGACCGGGCCCAAGUCCCCUGGAAGGGGGAGCCUGAAAGGGUGACAGCCCCAUCAGGCCUGGACCCUGCCGCACCAUGAGGCGUUGUCGGCGAGUCGGGUUGUUUGGGAAUGCAGCCCUAAUCGGGUGGUAAAUUCCGUCCAAGGCUAAAUACGGGCGAGAGA
rnacentral:ncRNA from 1 species